rnacentral:rRNA from 1 species
GAUGAACGCUGGCGGCGUGCCUAAUACAUGCAAGUCGAGCGAACAGACGAGGAGCUUGCUCCUCUGACGUUAGCGGCGGACGGGUGAGUAACACGUGGAUAACCUACCUAUAAGACUGGGAUAACCUCGGGAAACCGGAGCUAAUACCGUAUAAUAUAUUGAACCGCAGGGUUCAUUAGUGAAAGACGGUUUUGCUGUAACGUAUAGAGGGAUCCCCGCCGCUUUAGCUAGUUGGUACGGUAAAGGCUUACCAAGGCAACGAUGCGUAUCCGAGGGCAUAGGCGGAUAGCCGGCCCGGGAACUGGAACGCCGACCAGGCGCCUGCGGUAGGCCGCAGAAGCGAACCUGACGCAAUGGGCGAGAGUCUUACGGAGCAACCCCGCGUGAGUGAUGAAGGUCUUCGGUGCGUAAAACUCUGUUAUUGGGGAAGAACCAAUGUGUAAGUAACUGUGCACUUCGUGACGGUACCGAAUCAGAAAGCCACGGCUAACUACGUG